rnacentral:rRNA from 1 species
GAUGAACGCUGGCGGCGUGCCUAAUACAUGCAAGUCGAGCGAACGGACGAGAAGCUUGCUUCUCUGAUGUUAGCGGCGGACGGGUGAGUAACACGUGAAUAACCUACCUAUAAGACUGGGAUAACUUCGGGAAACCGGAGCUAAUACCGGAUAAUAUUUUGAACCGCAUGGUUCAAAAGUGAAAGACGGUCUUGCUGUCACUUAUAGAUGGAUCCGCGCUGCAUUAGCUAGUUGGUAAGGUAACGGCUUACCAAGGCAACGAUGCAUAGCCGACCUGAGAGGGUGAUCGGCCACACUGGAACUGAGACACGGUCCAGACUCCUACGGGAGGCAGCAGUAGGGAAUCUUCCGCAAUGGGCGAAAGCCUGACGGAGCAACGCCGCGUGAGUGAUGAAGGUCUUCGGAUCGUAAAACUCCGUUAUUAGGGAAGAACAUAUGUGUAAGUAACUGUGCACAUCUUGACGGUACCUAAUCAGAAAGCCACGGCUAACUACGUG